rnacentral:rRNA from 1 species
AAACCUCUUUUAUCAAGGAAGAAGAUCUGAGGGUACUUGAUGAAUAAGCCACGGCUAAUUCCGUGCCAGCAGCCGCGGUAAUACGGGAGUGGCAAGCGUUAUCCGGAAUUAUUGGGCGUAAAGCGUCCGCAGGCGGCCCUUCAAGUCUGCUGUUAAAAAGUGGAGCUUAACUCCAUCAUGGCAGUGGAAACUGUUGGGCUUGAGUGUGGUAGGGGCAGAGGGAAUUCCCGGUGUAGCGGUGAAAUGCGUAGAUAUCGGGAAGAACACCAGUGGCGAAGGCGCUCUGCUGGGCCAUCACUGACGCUCAUGGACGAAAGCCAGGGGAGCGAAAGGGAUUAGAUACCCCUGUAGUCCUGGCCGUAAACGAUGAACACUAGGUGUCGGGGGAAUCGACCCCCUCGGUGUCGUACCCAACGCGUUAAGUGUUCCGCCUGGGGAGUACGCACGCAAGUGAGAAACUCAAAGGAAUU